UACGGAGGGUGCAAGCGUUAUCCGGAUUUACUGGGUUUAAAGGGUGCGCAGGCGGAUAUGUAAGUCAGUGGUGAAAUCUCCGGGCUUAACCCGGAAACUGCCGUUGAUACUAUAUAUCUUGAAUGCCGUGGAGGUAAGCGGAAUAUGUCAUGUAGCGGUGAAAUGCUUAGAUAUGACAUAGAACACCUAUUGCGAAGGCAGCUUACUACACGGAGAUUGACGCUCAUGCACGAAAGCGUGGGGAUCAAACAAG
rnacentral:rRNA from 1 species